UUGUCUAAUGCUUUCAUCUUCAUCUUCCUAACUUGUUGAUGAAAACAGAACAACAACGCUUCCGUGUUCCAAAAACGCUUCAUCUUCAUCUUCCGAAAACGCCAUCUCAACAUCUUCAUCUUCCUUAGAUUCGGUUUCUAUAUACCGAAAACGCUCUGAUUCGGUUUUUAUCUACCGAAAAAGCUUCGAUUCGGUUUCUAUCAUCCGAAAACGCUUCGAUUCGAUUUCUAUCGUCCAUGAAUUUUCAUUUUCAAGAGUUUAUGUUUUAUUUGCGUUAAACUCCAUAUCUGAACUAAUGAUUUUGAUUUGAACAAUUAACCUUUGUUCAAUUUUGAGGAGGAUUAUAAUGUCAAUAGAGUUAGGUUACUCAUAAAUCAAAUUCUUCGGUUGUUGAAUCCAUCUGUGGCUAUCGGUUGCUCAUAGAAAUUAAGGAGUUGAUGUACAAAUUGUUUAAUGUUGUAUUAUUGAUUUCUCAGGUUUUCCAAAUGAAGGGGUUGAAGUUUUAGAUAGAAAAGCAAAGGAAAACCAUUUUGUUGAAUAGUUUGUUCUGUUUGCAGGAUCUGUAGAGAGCAAGACAAUUUUGUGGAAGUGAGUAUUGAUUUAAAUCAUGGUUUAUCUAUAUAAAGUUGAGUUAAAUCAGGAUCUUUAGAGGUGAUUAAAGGCUUUGAACCAAAAGACCGUUGUAAGCUUCUUAAAUUUGUCACCAGUUGUUCCCGUGCUCCAUUACUUGGGUUCAAAUAUUUCCUACGAACAUAAAAAAACCUUUCCUACGAAUAUUUUGUAGGAAAUGUGACGAAAGCAAUUUUCGUAGGAAUUGUUUGUCGGAAAUGCAGAGAAUUCUUGUAGUGUACAGCCACCUUUUACCAUCCACAAAUUAUGCUCUUGAUUUUCUAUGUUUGAUAGGCAUACAAGAUCAUUUAUACCAUCACCUCUAUUAUCCCAUUUGUUUUGUUUAUCAUAAUGAAAUAUGAUAUGGUUUACAAUGAA